UUCUUAUCAAGAGAGAUGGAGGGACUGGCCCCGCGAAAUCUCGGCAGCGGAACUUAAUUCUUUAAGUUGCUGUGCCAAAUCCAGAAAGCUGAGGCUUGAUAGAUAAGAA
rnacentral:ncRNA from 1 species